GACGAACGCUGGCGGCGUGCCUAAUACAUGCAAGUCGAACGAACCGCGACUAAGUGCUUGCACUGAUUGAGGGGGAGUGGCGAACGUGUGAGGAACACGAGGGUAACCUACCUCAUAGUUGGGUAUAACAGACGGAAACGACUGCUAAUACCGCAUAGCACAUAGGAGCACAUGAUCCGAAGAGGACAGCUGGCGCAAGCUAUCGCUAAGAGAUGGACCCGCGGUGCAUUGGCUUGUUGGAAGGGUAAAUGCCUACCAAGGCGAGGAUGCAUAGUCCACGUGAGAGAGUGAUCGGCGACAUUGGGAGUGAGACACCGCCCUAACGCCUACGGGAGGCAGCAGUAGGGAAUCUUACGCAAUGGUCGCAAGUCUGACGGAGCAACGCCGCGUGUGUUACGAAGGUCUUCGGAUCGUAAAGCUCUGUUGUUAGAGAAGAACCGCGCAUAGAGUAAAUGCUAUGCGUGUGACGGUAUCUAAUCAGAAAGCCACGGCUAACUACGUG
rnacentral:rRNA from 1 species